AAUGGCAAGUGAAUGUGUGUCUGUGUGUAGCCUGAGGUCCCAUUAAGCCAUAUUGUUGGACAGGAGCCCACACAGUGUUCACAGUUCAGCUGCAGCUAAUCAGCUUCCAUCCUGGUGACUACAUACCAUGAUACACUAUGAACUAUGGCUGCUUCGUUUGAUUGACAGGUGGAGGCACAGUAGGCACAGCUGAACUGAGCUGAGCUGAAGCAAAGAAGAAGAAAACAUCAAAGAGGAGGUCGGCCAUUGCUGUUUUAUCUCUACCUGCAAUUCAUUUUAUUCAAGUGUUACUACAACGUUAUUACAACUUAAAAUAUGUGUUUCUGAUUGGCUGGCAGUUGUCUGUUGCAAUCAUUCAUUAGUUAAGGUCAGCAGUUUACAAUAUGGUGACCAACAACUGCAGAAGCAGAGUUAUGUCUGUUAGUUAAGUCCGGUCACCACACAACAAGCACUGAAGGAUAGCGCUGAACCUGAGUGUACAUGCCUGACACUCCAGGGGCACGCUGGUGAUGAGAUGGAGCCUGAUGUUGGAACUGCCAUUGCUGAAUAUCUGCUGUACCUGGAGGUGAUCGAGAGGGACCUGGCCUUUGGUCCGGUGAGAGCAGUGACAGAUGGGAGGAAACUCCUGCAAACUCAGGAUAUUAGAUUUGCAGAAGUGAGCAACAAUAAAUAAAAUUGUCACAUUGUUUUCACAUUGUCACAUUGAUACAUUGAUAUUGAAAGAAAAUUUAUUUUAGCCGCUUCAAGAACAAUAAACCAUGUUUCCUGAUGCUUUCUCCUCUCAUAUCUGUAGGCUCAGAUAAAUAGCAGAAAAUGACUUGCUGUUGCUGACAACACAGUAAAUCUAUUUUAUGUUCAAUCACAUUUAACACAGCUGUGUUUAGGUUGCAUGACACAGCACUGUCGGCUUGUAAACUUGAACACAACAAUAGUUACUAUGUAUAGCAUAAUUAUGCUUACAGUGAUUGGUGACCUUAAUAAAUGUACAAUGCAAAA